GCUAUUUUGGCAGAUUAGUGUAUUAAACUUAGAAUUUAAGAAUAUGAUUUAAUAUCAUAAAUAGUA
rnacentral:tRNA from 1 species